rnacentral:rRNA from 1 species
GACGAACGCUGGCGGCGUGCUUAACACAUGCAAGUCGAACGGAAAGGCACUGCUUUUGUGGGGUGCUCGAGUGGCGAACGGGUGCGUAACACGUGAGUAACCUGCCCUUGACUUUGGGAUAACUUCAGGAAACUGGGGCUAAUACCGGAUAGGAGCUCCUGCUGCAUGGUGGGGGUUGGAAAGUUUCGGCGGUUGGGGAUGGACGCGCGGCUUAUCAGCUUGUUGGUGGGGUAGUGGCUUACCAAGGAUUUGACGGGUAGCCGGCCUGAGAGGGUGACCGGCCACAUUGGGACUGCGAGACGGCCCAGACUCCUACGGGAGGCAGCAGUGGGGAAUAUUGCACAAUGGGCGGAAGCCUGAUGCAGCAACGCCGCGUGCGGGAUGACGGCCUUCGGGUUGUAAACCGCUUUCGCCUGUGACGAAGCGUGAGUGACGGUAAUGGGUAAAGAAGCACCGGCUAACUACGUG